rnacentral:rRNA from 1 species
CCUACGGGAGGCAGCAGUGGGGAAUAUUGGACAAUGGGCGAAAGCCUGAUCCAGCAAUGCCGCGUGAGUGAUGAAGGCCUUAGGGUUGUAAAGCUCUUUUACCAGGGAUGAUAAUGACAGUACCUGGAGAAUAAGCUCCGGCUAACUCCGUGCCAGCAGCCGCGGUAAUACGGAGGGAGCUAGCGUUGUUCGGAAUUACUGGGCGUAAAGCGUACGUAGGCGGUUAUUCAAGUCAGAGGUGAAAGCCUGGAGCUCAACUCCAGAACUGCCUUUGAAACUAGAUAGCUAGAAUCUUGGAGAGGUGAGUGGAAUUCCGAGUGUAGAGGUGAAAUUCGUAGAUAUUCGGAAGAACACCAGUGGCGAAGGCGACUCACUGGACAAGUAUUGACGCUGAGGUACGAAAGCGUGGGGUAGCAAACAGGAUUAGAUACCCUGGUAGUCCACGCCGUAAACGAUGAUAACUAGCUGUUCGGGCUCUACGAGCUUGAGUGGCGCAGCUAACGCAUUAAGUUAUCCGCCUGGGGAGUACGGUCGCAAGAUUAAAACCGUCAAAUGAAUUGACGG